rnacentral:rRNA from 1 species
AGUCGAACGGAAGUCGUUAUAAAAAGGAUUGAAGAUUUAUCUGAUUGAGAUCUUUAACAAUGGCUUUAGUGGCGGACUGGUGAGUAACGCGUGAGCAACCUGCCUACUAGAGGGGAAUAACAGUGAGAAAUCAUUGCUAAUACCGCAUAUGCCAUGAACAUCACAUGAUGAAAAUGGGAAAAGAGUAAUCUGCUAGUAGAUGGGCUCGCGUCUGAUUAGAUAGUUGGUGGGGCAACGGCCUACCAAGUCGACGAUCAGUAGCCGGACUGAGAGGUUGAACGGCCACAUUGGGACUGAGAUACGGCCCAGACUCCUACGGGAGGCAGCAGUCGGGAAUAUUGCGCAAUGGAGGAAACUCUGACGCAGUGACGCCGCGUAUAGGAAGAAGGUUUUCGGAUUGUAAACUAUUGUCGUUAGGGAAGAUACAAGACAGUACCUAAGGAGGAAGCUCCGGCUAACUACGUGCCAGCAGCCGCGGUAAUACGUAGGGAGCAAGCGUUAUCCGGAUUUAUUGGGUGUAAAGGGUGCGUAGACGGGACAACAAGUUAGUUGUGAAAUCCCUCGGCUUAACUGAGAAACUGCAACUAAAACUAUUGUUCUUGGGUGUUGGAGAGGAAAGUGGAAUUCCUAGUGUAGCGGUGAAAUGCGUAGAUAUUAGGAGGAACACCGGUGGCGAAGGCGACUUUCUGGACAAUAACUGACGUUGAGGCACGAAAGUGUGGGGAGCAAACAGGAUUAGAUACCCUGGUAGUCCACACCGUAAACGAUGGAUACUAGGUGUA